GCUGGGCACGGUGGCUCACGCCUGUAAUCCCAGCGCUUUGGGAGGCUGAGGCGGGGGGAUCACCUGAGGUCAGGAGUUCGAGGCCAGCCUGACCAACAUGGUGAAACCCCGUCUCUA
rnacentral:SRP_RNA from 1 species